rnacentral:lncRNA from 1 species
AUAGACUCAAUUGCUAGAAUCACCGUUUUCUGCAUCAUAGCCAGCAGAGCAGUCAUCCUUGCUCGAUCGUAUGUUUCGCAAAGGAACUUAGGCCAAUGGCCCAUUUGACGCCAUCAAAAAAUUUGGCGCACACAUCCAUGUCCUCGAGCAAAUCUGGUCUCAAGAGUGCACAAAUCCCAGUAGCUUCCUAGGAACAGACUUGGUGGAUUUCUCACAACUACCCGCACGAGCAGUCUCUUUCUUCUCAGCUGGUGAAUCAGUCUUGGCGGCAAGGAAAGAGGGUUUUAGUGCCACUUUGGUAGCAGAAUCCACCUUAUCACUUUUCACGGUAGCAAGUUUUUCCAAAGGUGAACCAGACUUAGCCCCC